CCUACGGGAGGCAGCAGUGGGGGAUAUUGCACAAUGGGGGGAACCCUGAUGCAGCGACGCCGCGUGGGUGAAGAAGCGCCUCGGCGCGUAAAGCCCUGUCAGCAGGGAAGAAAAUGACGGUACCUGAAGAAGAAGCCCCGGCUAACUACGUGCCAGCAGCCGGGGUAAUACGUAGGGGGCAAGCGUUAUCCGGAUUUACUGGGUGUAAAGGGGGCGCAGGCGGCGAUGCAAGCCAGGAGUGAAAGCCCGGGGGCCAACCCCGGGACUGCUCUUGGAACUGCGUGGCUGGAGUGCAGGAGGGGCAGGCGGAAUGCCUGGUGUAGCGGUGAAAUGCGUAGAUAUCAGGAAGAACACCGGUGGCGAAGGCGGCCUGCUGGACUGCAACUGGCGUUGAGGCACGAAAGCGUGGGGAGCAAACAGGAUUAGAUACCCGAGUAGUC
rnacentral:rRNA from 1 species